UCUGUAAACCUCUCCUAUUUACUGACUGGUUUUGGUACUCUAUUGUCUUAUUUAUUUUUGUGUUUCUAUGUGAUCAUCUUUUACUAAUUAUCAUUGACUGCACCGCUAGAUAAAGACAAGGAAGAAAAAUCUGUGAGUGACAAUUGUUAAACUAUUUGAUUCCGGAUUAUUAGGCAACUGGAGAUCUUGAUUGACAAAGGAAGAGUCUAUCUAAUCUUUAGAUACAAAAGCAUCAGGGUUUUCCAGCAAGUUAUCCCUAUUCAACGAAAAUUCAUAUCUAAUACAUUGAUUAAUCUUCAAGAGGAAUCAUGUGUGAUUUCAGGUUAAGCUGGAGGAUCAAGAAAAAUUACAAACAGAGACUAGAAACACGAUUUUUCAAAUGGCAACCUCUUCUCUCGUGGUGAAUAUUACUAUAAAUUUUUCCUCCAUCUGGCCAUCGCUAUGACGAUUUGGAAUUAUGUAACUGGCUAUGAGCUCUUGUGCACUUAACACUUGGAAUUAAUUGAUCACUCGAAACCUAAAAAAGCAACCUUGGGCGAUCAUCAAGUGAACAAUUUUCUUUUUUCUGUUGUUUUCCUAUGGAUUGGACUGAAAGGUAAUGUUAAACUGCCGCUGGUUAUUUUGAAUCAUCAACCAAAAGUAACCAAACAACAUAACCCUUUGCUGACUCGUUAAGUUUUAAAUAUUGCGGCUAAAAAUUACAUGAUAUAACUUUUCAGCAUAAAUCUUUCGUCUAAUGCAUUAUUACAUUAUUACUCUAUUACAUAACCAGUUAUUGGGAUCAAUUUCUUCCUUGAUUUUAUUAUCGUAGAAAUUCAGGAAAAUUAUUCUCAGAAUCUCGGUUCAAUCUUUCACUUUCCUCAACUUUAUUUCAUCAGAUUCUAUUUUUGGUCUAAUCAACAUGUACAAUUACCCUGCUAACAUAUAUUUAGCUGAUUAUCUAACGAGAUUAUAUUACUCGGUUAAGCCUGGAAGCUUCAAUUGUUUGAUCCUAUUGUUUCAACUAAUAGCUGAACUUUAUCCCUUUAUCCCUCUUCACCUAUUAAUUGUUUCAUUUUGUAAACAAUUACCGGAUAAUGUCAUUAGGGAAGUCUCGUUUUCCGUAUUAUUAAUAAUGAAAGUUGUUUUUCAAUUAUCAAUAAUCAAAUUACUAUUCCAGAUAAAACUUCUUCUUCUCUUUUAUAUUACGAGUCAGUCUGAAUUUAAUGUCCAUGUAUAGCAAUUGACUUAACAUCAUUAGAAAAAGUUCUUACCAUUUGCCUCUAUAGCUCGAUCUGAAUUCAGGGUCAAAAGAAGACUAUAUUCUGCCGAUAAUUAAGUAAACACGUUUUUACAGGCUUUAACCAGAGAUUUAAGGAAAAUUAUAGAUUCGAUUUCUAGUUACUAAUUAAACAAACCAAUUUAACCUCAAACUAUUCUCAACUGAUUUAUACUGUAAACCAUAAUCAACCUUUUGGUCUCAUUAUUGAACCUAAAAAUGCAGACAAUCAGUUAGUUAACAACCUUCCUAACCAGAUUUUAAGCUUCAGGCUUUAAUUCAACUUCCUUUUAUUAGCCUUUUUCAAAAAAGGCUUAUUUGGUUUGAGAAAAGUAUUUGGACUCCGAAUUUCAGUCUUCAAAAGGUUCCUGCUUUAAGACUCAGACUCUUGGGACAAUAAACAUUCAGAAUAAAGCCGUCUUUGUUUGAAAACAUGACCAAUUUGGAAUAUAUAAAUGGAUAAACAGAUAAUCUAAGAAAACAAUUGAAAUGAGUUUAUCCACUUUUCGUCCCAUAGGAUUAACCAUGUUUUUAUUGUUACUGUAAAACAGUAAAAUUAAUCCACAUGAAAUGUUCAUUUUCUAAUCUAAAUUUUUUUCUAAUUAGUCUAGGAAACAACUGGUGGAGUCAAGAAGUUGAGAGAAACGCCUAGAAGGACAUUUUCAAAGGGUCAUUUGGUGGAGACUACAAAGCUUGAUUGGCAAUCAGAUGAUCACAAUGCCAUUUGUGGCCUUUCAAAUUGAACAAAAGUUUAUUGUUGAUUUGUGAAAUUUCAACUUAUCUGGCCAACCGCAAAAAUUAAUCAAGACUGAUCAACUUAAUUGUACUCUAAACUUGCUGUUCACUGAAGCUUUAUUGGUACAUUUUUUAUUUGUUUAUAACAAUUGAAUUGUAUUACAAAAUGUAAUAACAUGACAAUUAAUCAAUCCUUGACCUCAAGUUAAUGGUCAAUUGAAAGAGAUUAUAUUUAGAGACAAAAGAGGCAACAUUAAUUGAAUCAUCAAUCACGAAUUUGAUUAUCAUUAGAUAAUAAUCACAGACCAAUUGACCAGAAUGAAUUUACUACUUGACUCUUUGUGUGAAAGUCAAGGAAAAGGAUCAGACACUAACCAGUAGCACCAACCAUCGAUUAUUGUAAUAUUAAUUAUAAUCUACUGUGCUAGUUAAACGAUAUUUCAUUCAAUGUAAGAUUUGAUCAAACUCCAAAGUGAUUCAAUUCAGUGUACAAAAAACCUUGGAUAAUUGUUGUUAAUCUAAUUGUUGCUAUCUCUUUUACCAUUAUCAACUUACUGCAAAAGUUCAGGGAAAUGAUAUUAAUUCAGUUGAAGGCAUCCAAAAACUGAUGAAACCACAAAAUUAGAAACAGGAAUCAGUUCAAGAUUAACCAGAUUGAAGAUUUAGGAAAUUAAAAACACCAAUUUAAUGUCCGUUUAGAUAAUUUUACAAUUUAAUUCAACUUCCCAAUACUUGCUAUUUUUAAAACGACAUUUCAAGGACUAAUAUUGUAAUUUGUUAAUCAUAAGAAUCCCAAUCAACAGCUGAUUACAAUUAGUUUUCACUAUUGAUACAAAAUAAAGCAACAAUAACUAAACCAGUUUUGUGUGUUACCCAAAGAGUAACUCUUUGAUGUUACCAGACUGAAACCCAAUUUUAAGAGUUGAUGAACGAGUAAACCCAAUGUUUUGGUUUGUUGAUUAGUUGAUUAGUUGUGUCUUUAAUUAAAGGUUGAAUUUAAUGUGUAAA